UCAUGACGCUCCCGAUGAUGAUGAUGAUGAUGAUGAUCAACAUCAUCAUCAUCACCAUUAUCUUUAUGG
rnacentral:pre_miRNA from 1 species